CGCGCUGUGCCCUCCUCCUUAGCGGCGCGUGGCUCCCGUCACCUGGCAACUGCUGGGAGCCACCCCGGCGGAGGCGCCUUUGCGCCUUCCCGCCGCUAGAUGGCGGCUGGCGUCAUGUUGAUACCCUAUGGGGACCUGGAGGAGUCGAGUGAGGUCUCCCUUGAAUGGAAGACCCAGAGGCAGGAACUGGAAUUGCAUGGCUCCUUCGAUCCGUUUUCCCAAGGAUGCACAGUUUCCCAUCUCCACCCCAGCAGAGACGAAGAAUGAAGGGUCUAGAGAAGAGCAGAGCAGCCUCUCUGUGUGGAAACAUGAAAGUGUCGUCAAGAUGGAGUCUGAGGCGGAUGCAGAUGACUGCUGAGCAGGUGGCCUGCUGGAUGAUGAUGAUGAUGAUGAUGAAGACAGGGGUGUGAAGAGCUGGAACUGAUCACAGACGAUGAAGAAGAGGCUGAGGAAGGAGAGGCUGAGUCUUAAGCACAUGGUGGAAUUUAGAAAUCAUGUCCCAUCAUUCCUUACCUAUGACUUGUGAGAGAUUGAAGUAAAAGCAGUUCCUCUCCCCGGUGUCUUCAGCACAUCCCCACUGAUCUCCCUCUUUAUCCUUCCUGUGUGCAUACAAUCGUAAUUGCCUUGCACCUGGUUCCACUUUAACUUCCUCUGGUGCUCCUUGGUACUUCCUGUUAAGUCUUGCCCUUUAAGUUUUUCUUUAAAAUUUGGUACCUCUUGACUUCACAAUUAAAAGAUAUUUUUUAAUAAAAAAACCAAAACCA